CAGAGUUAUCCAACUCCCAAACCCAUGUGAACUUACCAUUGUUGCCUCGGCGGAGCCUACCCUGUAGCUACCCUGUAGGGUGGUUACCCUGUAGGGCCCCGCCGGCGGAUUUCAAACUCGUUAUUUUUUAGUAAUCUGAGCGUCUUAUUUUAAAUAAGUCA
rnacentral:misc_RNA from 1 species